rnacentral:rRNA from 1 species
GAUGAACGCUAGCGGCAGGCUUAACACAUGCAAGUCGAGGGGUAUUUAUCUUCGGAUAGAGAGACCGGCGCACGGGUGCGUAACGCGUAUGCAAUCUACCUUUUACAGAGGGAUAGCCCAGAGAAAUUUGGAUUAAUACCUCAUAGUAUAUAGACUCGGCAUCGAGAUUAUAUUAAAGUCACAACGGUAAAAGAUGAGCAUGCGUCCCAUUAGCUAGUUGGUAAGGUAACGGCUUACCAAGGCUACGAUGGGGAGGGGUCCUGAGAGGGAGAUCCCCCACACUUGUACUGAGACACGGACCAGACUCCUACGGGAGGCAGCAGUGAGUAAUAUUAGACAAUGGGAGCAAACCUAAUCCAGCCAUGCCGCGUGCAGGAUGACUGUCCUAUGGAUUGUAAACUGCUUUUAUACGAGAAGAAACACUUCUACGUGUAGCAGCUUGACGGUAUCGUAAGAAUAAGGAUCGGCUAACUCCGUG